AUAGAUAUAGCAGACCAAUCAGACUCUACCUUUGUUUGGGGCACAAGCUGCUAUGCAGUGAACAGUCCAAGAUCCAACCCAAUAAUAGGACAUAGGAGCCAUCUAGCUUCAGGCCUGCGAGCUCCUAGAACUUUGCCUUUCGUUCUGCCAUGGAAGAACUGUAAGUAAUGAUGUUCUCUGCAUAGUAGAUCUUGGAUCGUGUACCAU